GUCACACUGAAGGUCCUGAUCUUUCCUUUUAGAUGCGGCAGAUCUUCAGUUUCUCAGCAGACAUCAUGCCUUGCAGAAACAUCACUAUUCAUGUAGAUGAAUGUAAAUGCAGGGGAUGAGAGAAUGCUUUUUUAAGGCAAAGUUGUGAAGAGUUGUGUCAUUUCUGUAAAAGAAAAAGUAGGAGGAGAAUGAGAAAGAUUUUUCUAAGAAGCUUAACAGAGAAACUGAGAGAAU
rnacentral:lncRNA from 1 species